rnacentral:rRNA from 1 species
UACGGAGGGUGCAAACGUUACUCGGAAUCAUUGGGCGUAAAGCGCACGUAGGCGGUCUAGCAAGUCGGGUGUGAAAUCCCUCGGCUUAACCGAGGAAGUGCAUUCGAAACUACUGGACUUGAAUACUGAAGAGGGUCUCGGAAUUCCCGGUGUAGUGGUGAAAUGCGUAGAUAUCGGGAGGAACACCAGUGGCGAAGGCGACUACCUGGCCUGUUCUUGACGCUGAGGCGCGAAAGCUAGGGGAGCAAACGGG